rnacentral:lncRNA from 1 species
AGUCAACUUGGCCAACGUUAAUUGCACAAUGGAACAAUUAAAGAGGCACGUGGAUCAGGAAUGUAGUAGGUGCUUGACUCCUACGUUACAUCGGUAACUCGAUACGUUGAAAAUUACAUUGCACAAAAAUUAGCGAUUGAAGCAACAGGUUGGUUCUUAUUCGAGAAGAAGAGUCGGUGCAACUCUCUUGUUUAAAGUCGACAAACAUCCUGCAGCAACGAAUGCGUUUCGUAAUGCCACGGUGGCAAUAAAUCUUCUGUUUACACGCUGCGGAGUUACGGAAAUUGAUGUUUCUCAGUUUCGAAGCGAAGCUUAAGAGAGGAAAGCUUCGCAGCUUAAUUCUCGAACGUCUUAUGCUCUAAUCUCGUUCUAGUUGACGAAAACACCUUUAACGUUUUAAGAAAAUCUUUAGCAUAAAAUUGAAGCGAAAAGUUACGCGUUAUAUCGAUAACGUUACUUCCAUAUUUUCCUUAAGCGUGAAACGCUAUUCUGCAUGAAAUUUCACUCCAAGUGUAUCCUUUUAUCUGGAAGUCCGAUAACGCCAAACGAAAUAAGACAGGACAAGAAUACUAAAACGAAAUUCUCAUGGAGUGAAAUUUUACGAUAGCACCUAGUUUAUUUGAGAAAUUGAAGAAAUUUCUUAACGAUAGGAAAAUAAAAAUAAAAAGUGACCCGAAGAACGCCGUGUUUACCGAUAUGAAAAAUCUUCGAUUGAAAUGAAUCCUUUUGAUAUAAGUUUCUGUUCAAAGAAAGCUGGCGAAACAGACGUUUAUAGAAAGUGUGGAAUAUGAAAUAUCAUCCAUCGGGAGUAGAACGCGGAAGACAGUUUACGUGGAUAACCGCAACUUUUUCAUUUUGGUGAAAAGGCAAUUCGUAUUUCACACCAACUACAUAACGAAGCAUGUAAUAUGUCAUAGAAGUUAUCUUGCGAUGUGUUUGAAAUAUCUUCACGACUAAUUACAACAUCGACGUACGUUGAAAUCAUUCGUUUCACAUUUUAUUUACGAUGAGGAUUAAACAUUUUUCUGUGAAACACAGAAUCACGGCCGUGAUUCAUGGGGCUAUUAAAACGUCGCGGGCAUCCGAUCAAUUUUCUCGUAAUUAUUGUUUUCACGGUUGCAAAUAUCCUGGCGCGUAACAUAACACAAAAUUAUCUAAUAUCAUAGGUAUACAAUAUUAUUAAUACAACUAAUUAACACUAUCAGUUAAUAAAAUACGAAUACCUUCUUGUACGACUAUACUUCAUUUGUUGUACGAUUAUAAUAAGUAUGAUGGCAUGCGCACGUAAAAUAUUAAAAGUAAUUUUCCACGACAUUAAUGAAAGAACAAAUAUGGCGAAAGAUAUCUGGAACUUACGGCAUUGUUUACGUUUGCAAAGCUAAAAAAUAAAAUGAUCGUGUGUCUACCA